rnacentral:rRNA from 1 species
UACGAGAGGCCCAAACGUUAUUCGGAAUUACUGGGCUUAAAGAGUUCGUAGGCGGCAUGAAAAGUAGGGUGUGAAAGCCCUCGGCUUAACCGAGGAAUUGCGCUCUAAACUGUCGUGCUCGAGGACCUAGAGGUGAGCAGAACAGAUGGUGGAGCGGUGAAAUGCGUAGAUAUCGAGAGGAACACCUGCGGCGAAGGCGGGUGCUGGGCUGACACUGACGCUGAUGCGCGAAAGCCAGGGGAGCGAACGGG